UGCCCACCCUUUACCCCACUCCA
rnacentral:miRNA from 1 species